CGUGCGCGCCCGGCAUGGACGAGCCCCCCUCUCUGCACCCAAUCACCUGCGACCGCGUCCUACAAAACAUCCGGCCAGCACCGCCCAAACCCCCAGGUGCCCUGACUCUUGCGCUCCCACCUGGUGAUGACCGACAGAGCGCUGACAGGCACGUCCAGGGCAUGGCUGCUCCCCCGCGCCCCGCCCUCCCCAAACAUCUCUGACGGACGGUUGGCUGCAGCCCAGGAAGCACCGUCGCGCCGCGGCCUGCAUCCCAGCCCCGCCCCUCCGAGCGGGAAGGAGGGCUGUGUGGAAUGCUCCGGCUCCCUCGCCAGCCUAAACGCAAG